GCCUCUUCUAGUACACUGUAGAAGAAGCGUUCAAACGUAAGGUAGCAGAGGCGCAGUUUUCCUUCUCUACUUGACUUCGGCAGCGGUUGUGUGCGAAAACAAGGGUCAUUGUGAGGAACCACCCGGCGUGUGAACAGUCGAGACAUGCGUGUCAAUGCGAAGCUGCUCGCUAAUUACCAGAGGCAGACGGUGUGUCUCGUCGGCAAAGUCCUGCAGUGCGAACCCCAGGGCAUGUCGUUCAAGAUGGAAUCCCCAGACAAGCAGGUCGUCCAAGUGAUCAUGAAGAAUCCAAUUCAAGAACCACUGGAGGGCAUCAUUGAGGUAGUUGGUGAAGUCACUGCUAAGUCAGCGAUUGUCUGCGAAAGUUACGUGCUUUUUCCGCCUGCAGUGGUGGAAAACUUUGAAACCGAGUAGCCAAGAUCUGUUGGAAUAUGGGAAGGAAUGGUUAUAUGAAGCAAUCGAUGGAAUUCUCAACAUGGGCACUUACAAUGCUGUUGUCGAGACCAUACAGAAUGCCAAGGAUUAUUACCCAACCAUGGCCCCUGCGUAACGUCAUGAAUCUAUG
rnacentral:misc_RNA from 1 species